rnacentral:rRNA from 1 species
AUUGAACGCUGGCGGCAGGCUUAACACAUGCAAGUCGAGCGAGCGGCGGACGGGUGAGUAAUGUCUGGGAAACUGCCUGAUGGAGGGGGAUCACUACUGGAAACGGUAGCUAAUUCCGCCUACCAUCCGAUUUGCCCAGCUGGGAUUAGCUGGUAGGUGGGGUAAUGGCUCACCUAGGCGACGAUCCCUAGCUGGUCUGAGAGGAUGACGAGCCACACGGGAACGUGGAAAGGGUCAAGCUUCCUACGGGAGGAAGCAGGGGGAAAUAUUGCACAAUGGGGGAAAGCCUGAUGCAGACAGGCCGCGGGUGUGAAGAAGGCCUUCGGGUUGUAAAGCACGUUAAGCGAGGAGGCGUUACUCGAAGAAGAAGCAACGGCUAACUCCGUGCCAGCAGCCGCGGUAAUUC